UUUAACAGAACCCUUCGGGGCGAAGAUAAAGUGGAUUAGCGGCGGACGGGUGAGUAACACGUGAGUAACCUGCCUUAGACAUUGGGAUAGCCUCGGGAAACCGGGAUUAAUACCAAAUAAAAUCAUAAUGACACAUGUCAUAACGAUCAAAACUCCGGUGGUCUAAGAUGGACUCGCGUCCCAUUAGCUAGUUGGUAGAGUAAAAGCCUACCAAGGCGACGAUGGGUAGCCGGCCUGAGAGGGUGAACGGCCACAUUGGAACUGAGAAACGGUCCAAACUCCUACGGGAGGCAGCAGCGGGGAAUAUUGCACAAUGGAGGGAACUCUGAUGCAGCGACGCCGCGUGAACGAAGAAGGCUUUCGAGCCGUAAAGUUCUUUUAUAUGGGAAGAUAAUGACGGUACCAUAAGAAAAAGCCCCGGCUAACUACGUGCCAGCAGCCGCGGUAAUACGUAGGGGGCUAGCGUUGUCCGGAAUCACUGGGCGUAAAGGGUUCGCAGGCGGAAAUGCAAGUCAGAUGUAAAAGGCAGCAGCUUAACUACUGUAAGCAUUUGAAACUGCAUAUCUUGAGAAGAGUAGAGGUAAGUGGAAUUUUUAGUGUAGCGGUGAAAUGCGUAGAUAUUAAAAAGAAUACCGGUGGCGAAGGCGACUUACUGGGCUCAUUCUGACGCUGAGGAACGAAAGCGUGGGUAGCAAACAGGAUUA
rnacentral:rRNA from 2 species